rnacentral:rRNA from 1 species
CCUACGGGAGGCAGCAGUAGGGAAUCUUCCACAAUGGGCGAAAGCCUGAUGGAGCAACGCCGCGUGGGUGAAGAAGGUCUUCGGAUCGUAAAACCCUGUUGUUAGAGAAGAAAGUGCGUGAGUGUAACUGUUAACGUUUCGCCGGUAUCUAACCAGAAAGCCACGUCUAACUACGUGCCAGCAGCCGCGGUAAUACGUAGGUGGCAAGCGUUAUCCGGAUUUAUUGGGCGUAAAGGGAACGCAGGCGGUCUUUUAAGUCUGAUGUGAAAGUCUUCAGCUUAACCGGAGUAGUGCAUUGGAAACUGGGAGACUUGAGUGCAGAAGAGGAGAGUGGAACGCCAUGUGUAGCGGUGAAAUGCGUAGAUAUAUGGAAGAACACCAGUGGCGAAAGCGGCUCUCUGGUCUGUAACUGACGCUGAGGUUCGAAAGCGUGGGUAGCAAACAGGAUUAGAUACCCGGGUAGUC